GUGCCAGCAGCCGCGGUAAUACAGAGGGUGCGAGCGUUAAUCGGAUUUACUGGGCGUAAAGCGUGCGUAGGCGGCUUCUUAAGUCGGAUGUGAAAUCCCUGAGCUUAACUUAGGAAUUGCAUUCGAUACUGGGAAGCUAGAGUAUGGGAGAGGAUGGGUAGAAUUCCAGGUGUAGCGGUGAAAUGCGUAGAGAUCUGGAGGAAUACCGAUGGCGAAGGCAGCCAUCUGGCCUAAUACUGACGCUGAGGUACGAAAGCAUGGGGAGCAAACAGGAUUAGAUACCCUGGUAGUCC
rnacentral:rRNA from 1 species